rnacentral:rRNA from 1 species
CCUACGGGUGGCAGCAGUGAGGAAUAUUGCACAAUGGGGGAAACCCUGAUGCAGCGACGCCGCGUGAGUGAAGACGUAAUUCGUUAUGUAAAGCUCUAUCAGCAGGGGAGAAAAUGACGGUACCUGAGUAAGAAUCCCCGGCUAACUACGUUCCAGCCGCCGCGGUAAUACGUAGGGGGCAAGAGUUAUGCGGAUGUACUGGGUGUAAAGGGAGCGUAGACGGCAGUGCAGGUCUGGAGUGAAAGGCGGGGGCGCAAUCCCCGGACUGCUGUGGAAACUGUACGGCUGGAGUGCAGGAGAGGUAAGUGGAAUUCGUGGUGUAGCGGUGAAAUGCGUAGAUAUUAGGAGGAACACCAGUGGCGAAGGCGGCUUACUGGACUGUAACUGACGUUGAGGCUCGAAAGCGUGGGGAGCAAACAGGAUUAGAUACCCCAGUAGUC